rnacentral:rRNA from 1 species
GACGAACGCUGGCGGCGUGCCUAAUACAUGCAAGUCGAACGCAGUGGGGACGGGUGAGUAACACGUGGGUAACCUCCCAUCAGAGGGGAUAACACUUGGAAACAGGUGCUAAACCGAUACUGAUGGAUGGACCCGCGGUGCAUUAGCUAGUUGGUGAGGUAACGGCUCACCAAGGCCACGAUGCAUAGCCGACCGGAGAGGGUGAUCGGCAAAACGGGAACUGAGACACGGCCAAGACUCCGAGGGAGGGCAGCAGUAGGGAAUCUUCGGCAAUGGACGAAAGUCUGACCGAGCAACGCCGCGGGAGUGAAGAAGGUUUUCGGAUCGUAAAACUCUGUUGUAAGAGAAGCGGUAUCUAACAAAAAAGCCACGGCUAACUACGGGCCAGCAGCCGCGGUAAUAC